rnacentral:lncRNA from 1 species
UUCUAUAUUGAAACUUCCUUUAGGGAAGAAGCCUUUGGUAGCUUGGAAAGAUUUGUGUCUACCGAAAUCGGAAGAGGGACUUGGUUUUAGAGACAUAAAAUGUUGGAAUUCAGCAUUGCUUACAAAAUUCCUAUGGAACAUUCAUGAAAAAAAAGGAUACACUGUGGGUUAGAUGGGUUAACCACGUCUACCUACGCGGUGCAUCUGUUUGGAAGAAGACAGCCAAGAAAGAUGACUCCUCCACUUAUCAAAAGCUGCUGGAAACGAGGGACGGCUUGAUAGAACCUGUGAUCCAUGUGAAUCGUCAACUGAAACGGUUCAACGCUUAUUCUUUCAAAGUUCAUUGAGCUCCUCCACUUGGACGCAGAUAAAAUCAUGGCUUGGCAUUACUAGAUCAAUUACUACGAUUGGUAGCGCAUUGAAAUGGAAAAAAAGAGGCCUAUGGGACAUCUUGGCAUAGUAAAGUGAAGAAAAUUGCUCUUGCAAGUACAAUUUACUACAUAAGGGUGGCUCGAAAUAGAAAAUUUUUUGACCAUCGUACGCCACAUUUAGAUAGCAUAGUGAGAUGGAUUAAAACACAUGUAUACAAAGUCAUGUUUUCUUUGUAUCCUAAUGUUUUGGUUUAUUUUGAGUCACUAAUGUUGGGUUGAUAGAUCUUUGUCGUUUAUAAAUCUUUUGACUUUUAAUUUGCCCGGGUAUGCCCGGUGUAAUUGUACAUGAG